CCCCCCCCCCGGCCCCUCUUUCUUCUUUCUUUUAUUCGUUAGUUACUCAAUGUAAUGUAUCAAAAAUAAGAAUCUGACAUUGUUAGCAGUUUUGUUUGUAAUGGCUGUAAUGCCGUAAGAUAUUUUCUAAUGUAAGAAACCUAUCAAUGACAAGAUACUAAACUACUAAUCAACAGUAAAAGCCUCUAAUGAAACCAAACCAUACGAGUGUUUUCAUUUGCUGCUACUUGAAACCACAAUCCACGUAACCUUUCCUACUGUCAGGGAGGUUAAUUUUAAAUUGUGUUUGUAAGUGGGCUGUGCCCCUCUGGCAAGUUCUUUUAGAUAAUUAGCCUGACGCUUCCGCCGGACAUUUAUUAUCAAUAAUUAUGGUUUUGUUUUGAGCACAGCACCACGGUUACAAAUUGGUAGCAGUUAGCAUGGUUACGGUUACAAUGUGGUAGCAGUUUGUGUGAUAUGGUUACUCUUAAAUUGUUAACUGUAUUUUGGUUUGAUUUAUGAGAAUGCUUUAAAUUUAUUUGGUAUAAAUAUUUUUUUUGUUUGUCACUAAGAUUUUCUAUAUAUAGUAUUAUUGUAAGUCCUAAAACUGGCACCCAAUCUGAUUCACCCAAAGUGAGUUAAAUUAAAAUUCUCUCGUAUUUUACGUCCCGCUCUGACUGUGUUUGCGCGCGGUGAGACACCGCGCGGCCCCGUCGGUGCGACGGCCCUCAGGCAUCGUGCCUUAUCAGCGCGCGUGUCAUUCUCCCUGUCAUUCUCUUCACCCCUCCCCCUCACGCCUCACCGGCUGGAGGAGGUGAGGUCAUGCCGUUGACCCCGUGUCCGGCAGCGUAAAUAAUGCGUUACAAUCUAGUUUGUUCCUCACGGCCGACAGUGCCCUGAGUUUGUCUAAAUUCCUCCUUUUAUCUGUCUUUUUUUUUAUAACACAUCCGCCUGCAAACCAGGCAAUCUUUGUGAAAAACAGAUAAUAGAAGUCCUUUCGGACAUCGUGGUAUUUUUUGUUUUGUCUCUCGGCGCCUUGCUCCACAUGACAGGGCCGCCAACCGCGCGGAACUCUUCUCUACUCCACCCACGUAACACUUAUUUUGUAAACAAACUACCCAUGCUUUGUAUGUCCUAAUAAUAUUAUUUUUAUGUCACAAAACAAGCACUAUAAAUAAUCUAUACUGCAUUAAUUUUAGCAGCAAAGUAUUUUCUUAAUCUAAGGAAACGUAAAAUAUAACAUAACAUAUUUAUAUAACUUAUAAUAAUAUAAAAAAUACAAAUAAUAUAAUAUAAACCUUUUGUUUUAGCUAAUGUUAAGAAACUUCCAUUGUUUACUAUUUCUAAGUAUCUUAAAAUUAACGAUUAAGUAUUUUAAUAAUACAUAAAAUAAAUCUAAAAAAGGGUCCAUUCAUUAAGUAACAUAAAAUAAGAAUAUGCUCAUAAGUAAUUUUAACAAGUACUCUAAUCCUAUUGCAUCGUUCACAAGCAAAGUGAAUAUACUUCGACGUACCAUUUCAUUGUGUCACCAUACACACCCAUGUGCCUAGCUUUUGUUUAGAUUUAUUUCGUGAUCACCCAACGAGAGGUGCAAUCACUCAUGCCUUUAAGGAAAGGUUACUGAAUUAAAUUGUUUAUAUACACGGGUUGAAUCCCCAAUACUUUUACGCUAGCCAUGAGGUGAGGAAUUUAUUGUAAGAUAGAGUACUAAACUUUUUUAACGUCGAGUUUUCUAUAAACAAUUUACCAAUUAUUCUAAGAAUACUAAGUAAAGGAUAAAUAAUAUUUUUGUAAUUAUGAAUUUUGAGUAAACAAUUUAUUAACUUUUAUAUUUUUUUGGAUCGGUGUUCAUUUCCUUUACAAGGUGGUGUACAGCUAGGUAAUUUUAAACAUCUAAAUUUUUUUCAUUAUCCAUUUUUCAUCCAAAUUUGUUGAUCUUUCGGGUUUCGAACCCGAACUAACUCAGGGGUGAAAUUCCCUCGUAGGUCUCUCUGCUUCAGCCUGAUGGUCUGAUCAACCGUCAGAGCUUGAACAUAUUGAGCCUAUGUGAGUUAAUAAAUGUAGGUAUCCGGGACCGAGGUGUACUUCGCUUUUUAAGCAAGUAUUAAAUUCAUCUAUUUCGUCUGAUCCAUCGUCAGAUUGUGCAGAGCUAUGUCUCAAUGCCUUCGACUUCUUAUGGACAGCGAAACAAUUAUGUACAGGGGUUAUAUUCCCAAUCUAGUUUGUAAGUUACGGGUUACCAUACCCAUUUACAGGGGUUACAAUCCCCAUUAGUCACUGAGUGCUCAAGGACGCAUUUCCCUUGUUUCGGCCUCAGUGCUUUUCGGCCUCCCUCACAGCGCCCAUUUUGGUGUUCCUACACGAUAUCCAAUAUCUGAGAUCAACAGGAUGAAUUUCAUUUCAUUAAUAUAACAACGGCAUAAAUAGUUGUAAGCUUACAGGUACUUUAAGGUUAAGCUUUAAAUUUAAUUUUUUUUAUUUAUUAAAUGAUUUUAAGGAUUUAUUUUAAAUAAUUCAAACCAAGUUUAAAUGGACUCUAUUUAAUUAUUAAUCUUGUCUUGGACUAAAGUGUUACAGUCAAAGGUCAUGGAAUUAAUUCUGCUUUAUUACAAGUAGUAGGGCAACAGACAUAUUUUUUUUUAUCUUUUCUUUUAGCUCAUUAAUAAUAAUAAAAUCAAUCAUAUUAAAAUACGUAUUCCCCAGAAAUUAAGCAGCUACGAGGUGACUAGUCUCAUUUUAAUAUUUAAGGUAAUCACCGAGAGUAGUGAAAUACUUUCAACCCCCAACGAGAGGUCCACUUAAUUAAUUUGGGUAUGUUUGAGCAUCCCGUUUCUAGACUAGCACAAGCUAGGUAAUUUAAGAUAUUUUAAUUUUUAAUUUUUACAUACGUAAGUUCAGUCUUUAACAAGCUACUUGACGUAAAUAGUUUUAAUUUUUUUUACUCAGAAAUACCUCUCUGAUAUUUUUUGAAUCUUCAUGAAUCUUGUUCCACGAUUUCAUAUAUUUAAUUUCUGAUUACGUUCCUUUUUUUUAAUAACCAUAAUUCGUAAAGUAAGCAAGAAUAUGUUUGUAGUGUUUUUUUGUACUGAUUUUGCGUUAAUACUUGUACAUGUUUAUUUCUUUAUUUUCCCUUGCACGUAAAUGUGAUGUACAGUGACGUACAUAGAGUCUGAGCACUGAAGCUGUCACAUCUAGCCAUUUUUCUUUUUUCUUUUGCAUUCUACCCCAAAGUUGGAUUUCUUUUACAUCGUUAUCGAUGAGAUUGUUUAUUUAAGUAAGAGCGACGUGACUUCCAGACGGCAAACUGGUUUCUUUUAUGUGUUUUUCUAAAAUAGGAGCUAGGUCAAGCUAGCCAACGAGCGGCGCAAAAGUUAGGGUCCUCUGAGCCAACGAGCCAUGACCAAGGUCCUCUGAGUGAAAUAUCUCAUGACCAUUUUCGAGUGUUCUUUGGGUUACAUUCCCACCACUCAUCUUUGGACGGCCUAUGUUCAAACCCCCUCUCAGGCAGUGCGAAGUCUAUCAGCAGUCAUGGAAGAUCUAACCGCUCCAUUAUAAUUUAUCCCUUUUUGAUUUAUAAUUGUUGGUUUAUUGAAUUUUACAUUUCUUUAAAUAAUUUAAAUUUGAGUGCGAAGAGUCGUUAAUUUGUCGUUUUUUUUCAGAAUACUUUAAAUAAUAAAUAUUAGUUAAUAAUAAUAAACAUCAGAGUGGUAUGCGCUGAAAUUUCUUAAUUUGUCGAAUAUUUAAUAUUUUUAAAUUCAUUCUUUCCUACGGAUUGUUGAUCUGUUGAGGUUUUUCAUCCCCAAUCAUUUAAAAUUCCACCAAGGGAAUUCCACCCUUAGGUCCUGUGUCACUCCGGGACUGAGGCUCUGUUUCGCCUUCGGGCAAGCAGCAAAUUUGACUGUCUUCUCCAUCGCCUGACUGUGCAGGGCUAAGUCCCAAUGCCUUCGGCUUCUUAUGGAAAGACUAUUGUACAGGGGUUUACAUGCCCACUUUCAUUAUUUUCAGGGGUACACAAAUCCCCACCUUCAUAACUGGCACCCGACUGACCAAGUUCCGGUUCUGGCCCAGUGUUUUAGGCCCGCCUCACAGAGCCCAUAUUUAGAGUUUUUGUCACGUGACACCAUUCCCAACAUCUGAGAUCAACUUUCCUCAUGACAUCAUUCACCGUUAAGGGUAAUUUAAAUAAUUAUAUACACCUUCCAUUUUAUCAAAAUAUUUUUUUUAUAAGUAGUAAGAUACAGGCGAACCUGGUACUAGUUUUACUAAGAAGUGUAAGUUUAUUUUUUUCCCUAUAUGCUCCGCAUUCAAGCGGGGGAGUAUGUGCCGAAUCAGUGCUACUUUAGGCACGAUUUUUUUUAUUUUUUUGGUUUUACAAAAUUUUAAAUUUUUUUAUAACUUUAAUUUUACGCUUUCGCCCCAUCCAAACUUGUUCGGUCAAGUGUACCGGCAGGUUACCUUGUUGAGCAGCAUAGUGCUCUCACCACCGUUUCCCACCAAAUUUGCUGGGUCUAGCCGACUACAGGACUAUCAUCAGCAACGGUAUCCACUGGCCGUCGCGUUUCGUCACGAGUUUAGCGCUACGCGUGACGAAAGUAGCCGCCCUAAGCUUCCCAUGGUCACCCCCACCCCUUCUCGGAGGUGUGCUGAAGUUUGCGGUCUCUAACACGUUUUGGUGUCCUUUUUUCAAGUUCCGCCGCACGUCCCGACGUCUGGCCGGCGAAUUCUCCCAGGGCAGGUCAUUCACCGGACAUACCCCCCACCCCAUCCUGGUCCACAGCGGUCAUCGGCCAGCCGCGGCAAUGUCCCCUCUCAAGGCCAAAAUCCCCCCCCCCCCCACUUGCAAAAUGGCGGCCAUCAAGUGCCGCGAUGGUCUCUGCGAGACUCCGACCUGCAUGCCUACACCAUCUAUCGACGAAAGGACGAACCAGCUGAGAGCGAGAGCACACUACUGACCACCCUAUCCCCUCCAGGAGAAACAGUCGACCUCACACUCAGUCGAUAGGUCGCUGGAGCCCUUUUUUUUUUCUUUCGGAGCCCUUCGGAGCACUUCGGGGUUCCCGAUCCCCUCCUCCAGAGGAACAGACGACGGGACUAAAGUUUAAGUUAGCGUCCCGGCGCCAUUUUCAGGGAUUUUGAGGGCAGCUCUCGUCCAGCGCGCAUCUUUGCAACAAGUCGCAGUAACGACCAGCAGCUAUCGUGAUCCGCUUUCGGCAAUAAUGUAGUUGCUUCUGAGCCAGGCCAUGUCGCCUAGAUUUUUUUUUAGUUUUUCUUAGUAGCUGCCCAAAUAGUCAAGUUUAACUUUAGUUUUCUUUGGUUUUCGCCAUAACUAUUUCUUCUAUGGCUACCGCGAGCUCCCGUGCCGCGCAUCCCCGGAUCACCCCCAGGGACAGCCACUAUCUACUUCACCCUGCCAGCUAAGGCAGGGUUCCAGAAUCCCAGAGGGUUCCAGAAUCCCAGAGUACUUCAAGGACCCCAGACCAGUUCAAGAUGGCGGCCCAGUUCCGGCGCCACUUUUUGCACCUCAACCUGUAACUCGUGAGCCUCUAUAACGGAGUCUCCCUCCAUCUUUCGGCACCCCUCAAAAAGAAGUGAAGAACAGUUUAUAACUCCGCCAGUUUUAGGACGUUUUCCAUAUUAUUAUAAAAUAUUGUAUUUUAAACACAUAUAUUUGUUUGAUGAGCCUGCGAGCUCAAUGUUCCUAAACAGUUGAACAUAGCAUAGUAUGAAAUGGUGUUCCCCCCCCCCCCCGGCCCCUCUUUCUUCUUUCUUUUAUUCGUUAGUUACUCAAUGUAAUGUAUCAAAAAUAAGAAUCUGACAUUGUUAGCAGUUUUGUUUGUAAUGGCUGUAAUGCCGUAAGAUAUUUUCUAAUGUAAGAAACCUAUCAAUGACAAGAUACUAAACUACUAAUCAACAGUAAAAGCCUCUAAUGAAACCAAA